AAAGGCAAGGAAGGACAACCCAAAAGUCUUCAGUUUGACAAAACAUUCAUGGAUUCUGAAUGGAAUGUUUAGCUUCAGAGGUUGAUGGUGAAACAAAAAAAGUGAAACACUAGGGUGGUCCUAACAAGGAGUUGGAAGAAAACGUAAUGUUCAAAUGGUGCCGUGAGAAGAUCAUUGUCUGAAAUCACUCUACUCUUUCAAUUCUAUAUUCUGCUGUGGCCGCUCAUUACAUACUAACAGCCUGAGUACUGUAGGUUAAACCUCCAUUGCCUAAACGUCCCAUCAUUUGUGAAGACUUAAAUAAGUACAAGAUGGAUCAAACUGUUCCAAAGAAAUUAUGAUAAUCUUAUUUCUUUUGCCUGGAAUGGAUAUAUGCCAAAUGCAGAAUCCAGGUGUGUGGAGAACUUUAAUAAAUAGCAGUAUUGCCCCU